GGGGGAUCAGCUGUUUACUUCGGGGGGGGCGGAUCGGCUGUAUACUUCGGGAAAAGAAGACAAAUACUCACGUAUAUUUCACCUUCAGGAGGCUUUGAAAAUAUCUACAUGGUGGUAAUGAUUCGCCUGGUGUUAGUGUGUAGCCUUUUGGGCUUAUUUGCUCCGACUGUGCGCGGGACUGACUGCCCGGGAGGACUUGUGAGAUGUCCUAGUUUCAUGACCUGUUGUGAGCUUGCUAAUAAAGAGUAUGGCUGCUGCCCCUUCCCAAAUGCCAUGUGCUGUCAAGAUCACGUCCACUGCUGCCCUCAGAGUAUG